AUUCGCUCCCUUAUAGGAUAUCUGAAAAAAUUGGAACGAUACAAAAAAGAUUAGCACGGCCCCUAUGCAAGGAUGACACACACAAGAAAUGGUAUCCUAGUCGU